GCUCAAUAGGAAGUUUAUAUAUCACAACAUGUUUUAUAUGAUCCCCAAAUUGAAGCUCAAUAAAAAUUUAAGAACUCAAAAAUGAAUUAAAGAAUCAUCACCAAAGUAUACAGAUCUUAAGAAUAAAUUAACUAAAAAGUAUGUGAAGUUUUAUGCAAUAAUUAUAGAUAGUUUCUGAGAUACGGCGUGACAUGUGAACCCCACCCCCUUUUUGUCAUAAACUCAAUAACUCUAAAAUCAAAUUCUGAAUCAUUCUCAAAAGUAUAUACAAAUUCUUCAGAAUUAUAUAACCAAGAAGUGUGUAAAGUUUUGAGCAAUAGU
rnacentral:lncRNA from 1 species